rnacentral:rRNA from 1 species
AAUGGGGGAAACCCUGAACCAGCAACGCCGCGUGAAGGACGAAGGUCUUCGGAUCGUAAACUUUUGUCGUAUGGGACGAAAAAUGACGGUACCAUACAAGGAAGCCACGGCUAACUACGUGCCAGCAGCCGCGGUAAUACGUAGGUGGCGAGCGUUGUCCGGAUUUACUGGGUGUAAAGGGCGUGUAGGCGGGACUGCAAGUCAGAUGUGAAAUACCGGGGCUCAACCCCGGGGCUGCAUUUGAAACUGUGGUUCUUGAGUGCGGGAGAGGAAAGCGGAAUUCCUAGUGUAGCGGUGAAAUGCGUAGAUAUUAGGAGGAACACCGGUGGCGAAGGCGGCUUUCUGGACCGUAACUGACGCUGAGGCGCGAAAGCGUGGGUAGCAAA